CAAUAGCGUAUAUUUAAGUUGUUGCAGUUAAAAAGCUCGCAGUUGGAUUUCUGCUGAUCGCUGUCGGUCUGCCGUCAGGUGUGUACUGGCAGUGUUUGGCAUCUAUUCGAGAUUGGGUGUCCACUUGAUUGUGUGCACUCGAUGUCGGAGCUAAUACUUUGAGAAAAUUAGAGUGUUCCACGCAGGCGCGUGCCUUGAAUACUGCAGCAUGGGAUAUUGGAAGGCCGAUUGAGCUUUCUUGUUGGUUCUCGGUUUGAUCGGAAUGAUUAAUAGGGAUAGUUGGGGGCAUUCGUAUUCAACUGUCAGAGGUGAAAUUCUUGGAUUUGUUGAAGACGGACUACUGCGAAAGCAUCUGCCAUGGAUGUUCUCAUUGA
rnacentral:rRNA from 1 species